rnacentral:rRNA from 1 species
GGAUGCAAUCGUCUUAUUAUUAACUCUGAUAAUAUGGAAGUCAUUGACACAAUGAAGAAUGAAGGACAAUCGGCAGGAGUUGCGGCGGCAGCCUUCGAGGAUUGCUACUUCAUGGCAUGUGAUUUUCCGUUGACUAGAUUUGAACAUUGUAAUAGGGUAGCUAAUAAGGUUGCUCAUGAACUUGCUAGGCUAGCUAAAGUUUGUGUAACUAGAGAUUGGUUUGAGGAGCCUAUGAAAAAUAUUGUACCUUUUCUUAUAGAUGAUAUAAUCAUUAUUUUCAAUUAA